AAUAAACGGAGCCAUGUAUGUUUAUGUGUCCAACUUUGAUAGGCCGCCUUAUUUAAAAAAAAUAAUUAGUAUUUAUAUUGUUAUUAGAUUAUAAAACAUGAAUAGUACUUUAUGUGUGACUUAUGUUUUUAAGUUUUUUUAAAAAAAAUUUAAAUAAGACGGAUGAUUAAAUAUGGACACGGAAAUUAUGACUGCGCUUAUU
rfam:Oryza glaberrima chromosome 6 Oglab06_0009_9, whole genome shotgun sequence.